ACGGCCACAGUACCCUGACUGUGCAAAGGUAGCAUAAUAAUUUGCCACCUAAUUAGUGGCUAGAAUGAAGGAAUUGAUGGUAAGCCCCUUUAUUAUUCUUACUUAUAUAAAUUAGUACUCAGACGAACAACCCUGAAUCCCCCUGAAAGACAAAAAGACCCUACUGAACUUAAAGAAACACACUAUUUUCUAGACUACACUCUUUUAGCUGGGAAGGCUUAAGAGCACCCUAAACCUCUUAGUUUAUUAUUAGACACUAAGUCACUCAACUGACCCAUUAAAUGUUCACCAAAUAUAAGUUACCAUAGGGAUAACAGGCUAAUGCUUCUCAAAAGUCCACAUUAACAGAAGCGAUUGGCACCUCGAUGUUGGCUUAGGAAUACUCUAUAUCGCAGCCGGUAUAAUAAGUUGG
rnacentral:rRNA from 1 species